rnacentral:rRNA from 1 species
AUUGAACGCUGGCGGCAGGCCUAACACAUGCAAGUCGAACGAGUGGCGGACGGGUGAGUAAUGUCUGGGAAACUGCCUGAUGGAGGGGGAUAACUACUGGAAACGGUAGCUAAUACCGCAUACCAUCGGAUGUGCCAAGAUGGGAUUAGCUAGUAGGUGGGGUAAAGGCUCACCUAGGCGACGAUCCCUAGCUGGUCUGAGAGGAUGACCAGCCACACGUGAACUGAGACACGGUCCAGACUCCUACGGUAGGCAGCAGUGGGGAAUAUUGCACAAUGGGCGCAAGCCUGAUGCAGCCAUGCCGCGUGUAUGAAGAAGGCCUUCGGGUUGUAAAGUACUUUCAGCGGGGAGGCGUUACCCGCAGAAGAAGCACCGGCUAACUCCGUGCCAGCAGCCGCGGUAAUAC